rnacentral:tRNA from 1 species
ACCCGCUUAGUUCAAUGGUAGAGCGCCUGCUCGACACGCAGGGGACGGGAGUUCGAUUCUCCCAGUGGGUA